rnacentral:lncRNA from 1 species
AACGAUCAACAGUUUCCUUUAAAUUUUUUGAAAUGGUGCUGUAUCUCUCAUCAAUAAAAGAAACUGUGCCAUCUCGAGAAAUUGAUUUCCACAUUUAAUUUUAAAAGGUAAAGUGUCCUUGAUGACAAGAUUGAUGCGUUUUUCCUUCACUCAGUUACCUUUGAAUUUGGUGGGCUGAGGAUCUAUUACAUCACUCUAAGUAAAUGUACUAUCCUCAAAAAUUCGACAAAUUAUAAGUCAAAUUUUUUAGUCCAGCGUACAAAUAUGCUUUUAUAGACAAAAAAAAAAAAAAAAAACAUUGGAUCACCAGUUUUCUCGUUACCAUCAAAUACAAAAGCAAUUUUAUUCCAACUCUGUGAUUUCAAUGGGACUUUGUGCAAGCACUUUGUUUAGUCUGAGACAUUUAUACAUUUGUAACAUUGUCGCUACACAUGUAACUCAAGGCAGUAGAAACUUAAAAACCCACACUUCUCAAGGAAUCGGUCACCAGGUUUCUCAUCCAGAAUGUGCUUGACUGUCUGCAUGAAAGACUGAACCCUGAGGCAUAGCUUCUGCAUGAAAGACUGAACCCUGAGGCAUAGCUGAAGUUGCUGCAGUGAGAUGGUAAGCAAGGAAAUGGACUUAAGCUGUACCUGGGCCCACAGACUAGAAGUUUCCAGCUGACAUUGCAACAUAUGUGUUGUAUCCAAUUAUGCAUUCUUGUUCACAUACUGUAGAUAACACAAUUUCACAAAAAGUGUAUAAUGAGAUCAAUAUUGUCCUUCAAUUAACUAAUCUUAAUCAUUAUUGUAGGUAUUCACAGGUAAUCUGUAGAUAUCAGCAGCAGUGUAAGUUUUUGUAUAUACAUCAAAUGAGAACUGUAACUUACUUUCCUUCUAAGGCAUGCAGCUCUCGUAAUGAAACCCUGUUUCACAAAUGAUAACUAUAUAGUAUUAGUGCAGCUGGAUGUCUGUCUGCAUUGUGUCUAUUUUGCUCCCAACCAUAAUUUUGGUGACUACCUUAGAUUAUGAUAACAAUACAGAAUACAAAUACCAUUUCUCUAUAUCCAUAGUAAUUGCCAUUACAGUAAAAUGUAUUAUUAUUAUUCUAGUAUCUUACCUAACAUAUAAAUAAUGUUACUUUAGUUGGCAAUAGUCAAAUUACACUCUUUUAAUACUGACAGCAUUAUUCUCCGAUACCUGAUAAACUAGUAGGAGAGAUGUUCUUGUCACUUGCCUAUUAUAGUCCCUCCGAUUAUUCUCUUCAUUGCUUGCUAGUAAAAUUUUCAUUUCUCUCUC